CUCUGUACUGCCUUAAUGGUGUAGGUCGACAAAUGGGGGUGGUCGGGGUUGUGGACGCCCGUGCACUGAAGGCCGGGUGCGGGGAGGUUUGUCUCUUUAUAUUUAUUAGUAACCGGGAUAAUUCUUCUAGCAGGGGGUGAUCGAGAGUCGGGGUUGGAUUGGUAUUGAUGCUGUCCAUUGGGGGGCGGUGUAGUUGGGGAAGGGCAGGGUUGUUGUUGUCCAGCAGGGGGCAGUCUAGUUGGGGAAGGGUAAGGUUGGAGUUGUCCAGUAGGGGGCAGUCUAGUUGGGGAAGGGUACGGUUGGAGUGGUCCAGCAGGGGGCAGUCUAGUUGGGGAAGGGUAAGGUUGGAGUGGUCCAGCAGGGGGCAGUCUAGUUGGGGAAGGGUAAGGUUGGAGUGGUCCAGCAGGGGGCGCUGUAGUUGGGGAAGGGUAAGGUUGGAGUGGUCCAGCAGGGGGCGCUGUAGUUGGGGAAGGGUAAGGUUGGAGUGGUCCAGCAGGGGGCGCUGUAGUUGGGGAAGGGUAAGGUUGGAGUGGUCCAGCAGGGGGCAGUCUAGUUGGGGAAGGGUAAGGUUGGAGUGGUCCAACUUUGGCGGAGGGGGAGGUGUGGCUU
ensembl:lncRNA